CCUACGGGAGGCAGCAGUGGGGAAUUUUGGACAAUGGGCGAAAGCCUGAUCCAGCCAUGCCGCGUGCAGGAUGAAGGCCUUCGGGUUGUAAACUGCUUUUGUACGGAACGAAAAGGUCUUUUCUAAUAAAGAAGGCUCAUGACGGUACCGUAAGAAUAAGCACCGGCUAACUACGUGCCAGCAGCCGCGGUAAUACGUAGGGUGCGAGCGUUAAUCGGAAUUACUGGGCGUAAAGCGUGCGCAGGCGGUUAUAUAAGACAGUUGUGAAAUCCCCGGGCUCAACCUGGGAACUGCAUCUGUGACUGUAUAGCUAGAGUACGGUAGAGGGGAUGGAAUUCCGCGUGUAGCAGUGAAAUGCGUAGAUAUGCGGAGGAACACCGAUGGCGAAGGCAAUCCCCUGGACCUGUACUGACGCUCAUGCACGAAAGCGUGGGGAGCAAACAGGAUUAGAUACCCUGGUAGUCCACGCCCUAAACGAUGUCAACUGGUUGUUGGGUCUUCACUGACUCAGUAACGAAGCUAACGCGUGAAGUUGACCGCCUGGGGAUACGGCCGCAAGGUUGAAACUCAAAGGAUUGACGG
rnacentral:rRNA from 1 species